GGACCACUAGCUCAGCUGGCAGAGCACCUGACUCUUAAUCAGGGUGUCCAGGGUUCGAACCUGGUGGUCCACCA
rnacentral:tRNA from 3 species